GACUUCCCUGAAAUUAUCUGUUCUGUGGUAGGUAUUUAGCUGUGGGUCCUUUUCAGUCUGUUGAUAUUAAACACAUUUAGCCUCUAAGAAACUAAUCUUACAGUUUCACAUCUG
rnacentral:lncRNA from 1 species